ACUGAAAAAAAUGGACUUAGUGGGUCUUUGAAUUUAAAUAAAAUAAACAUGUAUAUGCAACACAAAAUAUUUAUAUUCCUUGUGUAAACAUAAUUUAAUUGAUUAGGAUUAAAAUGUUUUGUUUGAAUGUAAAAUGAACACAUUAUUCUCACAUUGAUUAAAAUUGAUUGAGUUGAAUACUUAAAGCAAUAAAAUUGGGUUUGCACACAAAACGGCACCCCCUGAGCAGCAGAUGGCAGUAUAGCUCAAUGAAAGGACGUCAUUUUCCAUAAAAGAAGAAUAAAGAUCGUUUAUUUGGGCGCCAAAAUGAAGAGUCAGCAGCAGUCAGUCAGAAGAACUCUCUCAGACGGACACCACGUUAUUAAAGUCCAUCAUCCUUGCAUGCGCUACACACUCAAAAGCAUUGAUAAAUGCUGAAUUUAAAAGAAUCACUACUGUCUUAUGUUCCUGUGUCACCUGGACCUCCAAUCCAAAAACCUGACGAAACUCUUCUAUCAGAAAGGUGGACAGCUAGCAAAAAGACUUCAAACAAUUAAUGAUCAAAUGACAGAAGGCAUGGAUGAGGUCACCAUCAUUGUGGUCAUUUGAAGACACCAAUGUUGGAAUUUGUGCUCUCAAACAACAUGCUUCUUGUGAUGAAGAAGAGGAUCUUUGUAUAGUCCUGGAAGCUAUGAAGGUGUUGCAACAUCGUGCCAUGUUGUUUGAGCUGAUGUAUGCCUUAAACCUGAGCUAUCCUGAUCUCCGCUUUAUUUUUGAGGAAAUCCAAAAGAUUUUAAUAGAACUGCAUUGAGAGUAACUUUAACAAACUGUUUCUUUCAGUGAAAGGAUCAGAAAGACUGUGCUGCUCAUUUUUGACUUUGUUUAUCUGUUUUAAGUGUUUUCUCUUAUUAAAACAUUAACAGUUUGCUGCUCAGAGUCGAUUUUGGAAAUGGUUGUUGUUUUUUGUUUUUGAUGAAUCUUUGAUUAACAGUUUAUACAAAUGCUGUAGCUCUGACUUUCUGAAGGAUUGAUAUUUUCCAGUUUGUAAAUCCAUUUUAAAAAUAAUAGUAAUUUCACAGAUGGGGCUUUUCCUAGUCCCAGACAUUUGCAAUGACAUAUAUCAGUGUUUUGUCUAAAGAUGUACUCCAGUGUUGUUUUUGUAAGGUAGGUUUGUUUGUAAACAUUUUUGUAAAAAUCCUAAUAUAACUAGGGCCUAGUCAUGGAUUAAUCUACAACCUGUUUGGGAAAUUGCCCCUUUAUGUAUGUACUGAAUGUGCUGAUUGUUGUAAUAGUUAUUGACUGUUAUUGAAUUAAUGUGUAGUGAUUUAAAUGAAUUGAUGAUCUGAAAGCAGUGGUUUGCCUCAAUAUCACUAAACAUUUGUACAAAACUCUUUGCUUUUUAUGCCAAUGCAAAUGUAUUUUGUAUUUAAAAAAAAAAUAACAUUUGGAUAAUUAUGGGUGAUUAUUCUGGUGCCAGAGACAUAAUGAAAUUGCUUUAGAGUUACAUAAUCCCAUAAUAUAAGCAUUAAAAAAGCAUGUUGGAAUUACAGAUGAAAAUCUAGUCCCCUUACAUAAUAAAAUUACUUAAACAUUACAAAAUAAAUGUGUUAUAGUAAA